GUGGGGAAUAUUGGACAAUGGGCGAAAGCCUGAUCCAGCCAUGCCGCGUGUGUGAAGAAGGUCUUCGGAUUGUAAAGCACUUUAAGUUGGGAGGAAGGGUAGUAACCUAAUACGUUGCUACUUGACGUUACCGACAGAAUAAGCACCGGCUAACUUCGUGCCAGCAGCCGCGGUAAUACGAAGGGUGCAAGCGUUAAUCGGAAUUACUGGGCGUAAAGCGCGCGUAGGUGGUUCAGUAAGUUGGAAGUGAAAUCCCCGGGCUCAACCUGGGAACUGCUUUCAAAACUGCUGAGCUAGAGUACGGUAGAGGGUGGUGGAAUUUCCUGUGUAGCGGUGAAAUGCGUAGAUAUAGGAAGGAACACCAGUGGCGAAGGCGACCACCUGGACUGAUACUGACACUGAGGUGCGAAAGCGUGGGGAGCAAACAGGAUUAGAAACCCUUGUAGUCC
rnacentral:rRNA from 1 species